UCAGCUCACGGCGAUGACCCGUUUAGAUGAACAUAACCGGAUUUGAUAGCUCAUGUAAUCUUUGCAUUUAUGGCGGUUAAUUCGAAAUUGCCUUCCUCUGCGCAAUCAAUGCAAAUUCAGAGCAUGAGAUUAUUUUCCGACCGUAUUGUAAUUAUGGAUGUGAUUUUUGGCAAGAGUCUCCCUGGCUAUGAAUUCACAUUCGCAGCAGAUGAUUAAUUUGUUCAAGCUCAGGUUUGUACAUAAGAGGUCUGAUCGUACAAUAGUAUUUCUUCGCAGCAGCUGAUGCUUCAUCUCUUCACUCUCUCUCUCUACAAAUCAGAUGGCAUCUAAGAAAGAAAAGGUAUCUUCCCUAUCUUCUAAGCCUCUUCCAGCACUAGGUUAACAUUUCCACCUCUGGGCAACUUGAAUCUCUGAAGCUUGCCUUUUAUUUAUGAGAAUAAAUGAUCACUUAGAAUGGUAAUCAAAAUUCUGGGGCAACAACUUAGGUAUUGAUUCUUAUCUGUGUAUUCAAAGUGUUUGUUUUGUAGGCAUACUUAUUUUGAUUACUAUUUGAUACUCACUAAAUGGUGAUUCUUCUCGGAGAAGCAAUACUGGAUAAUGAUCUCUUUGUCGUCAUUGGUUUGAUUUUGAACUAAUCCCAUAUUUUCAUUUAAACUCUAUUUUUCUUUACUAUCUCUUUAUUAGUCUAUAAUUAUAUACAUUUUUGUGUUUGUUUAUAUUAACAAUGUUUUGUACGUUUUUGUUAUGAUAUAGGUUCUAUAAUGUUUUGUAUGUUUUUGUUAUGAAACAGCUAUCAAGCGGUGCCUUGAUUGCAGCUCAGAAUGCUCCUGCCACCGCUCGGGUUGUGGUUUUUGAAGUAGAGAAUGUGAACCUGGUGGAUACCGCCUCAGUUGUUGCCAAGGGGAUGUAUAUGAAAUAUGAGCCAGUGGAUGAGCGCUAUUGCCCAUUUAGCAUAGUUACGGGUGUACAAUUACAUUUUGACGGGGAACACAUUCCAAGGUGGUUUUUUCAAUGGACAUGGUACUGAUAUACAUGAUAUAGUGCUGGAAUCAUGAAUCAGGUCGCCAUUGUACUCAAGGUUGCAAGGCUUCGCAUACAUCUGAUUGAGAAUCUCAGAAUUCUCCAGCAGUUGUACAUGGCUAGACCAUAUGGUUUAGUCAUCUUUUUCACUGAUGAUCCCAUCAGCAGCUCUCCUGUGUCUUCAUGGAGUUUGCUUUGUUUCUUGGACUCAAAUUUGAAGACUAAUGCUCGGACUGGGUCUGGAGCAUCUGGUAUUCAGUUUGUUCUAACAAUUUAUACCAAUGGAAUAAAGCAUUCAGCAGAAACAUUGCUGGAAACUGCUCACUCACACGCCUUCAAGUAUAGUGCUAGCUAGGUUUUGUUAUGGAUGAUAAUACGGGUUCAAACGAGUCAGGUGAUAACAAGUUCUGUUCGGAACGCAUAGCAAAAUAUGCCUUCGAGUAUGCUUACCUCUACAAAAGAAGGAUGGUGACAGCAGUGCACAAAGCAAACAUCAUGAAGCUUGCAGAUGGUCUUUUCUUAGAAUCCUGCCGAGAGGUUGCAAGCAAGUAUCCAGUAUCAUCCUAAUUAUAAUGUGUUCGUUAAAAUCAAGGCUACAAUAAAAUCAGGGGCUUCGAUAAAAUCAAGGCUUCAAUUUUCGUUUAAAGUCUCUCGCAGCUUGGCCUCUGUCUAAACUCCCUCCCGUGGCCGUCUGUAAGUCUCUUUUGAGAAUCUUUGGUAAAACUCUGGUAUUCCGCCAUCUAUUUCAUUUCGGUUAGGACUUUUCAAUUGAUUAUAGGUUUCGAUUUAAGGCUUCUUCAAAUUAUGGCUUUCUUAAUCAAUUUCUUGACUGCAAUUUACAGGUUCUUCUGAUUAUGUUUAAUUAUUUUGUUUUCAUCUCUCAAAUUUCAUCAAUUAAAUUAAUUAUUUUGUUGUAUAAUAUUUAUGGCACUGCCUUAUAUUGUAUGUCUCCGUCUAUUAUAUAUCAUUCGUUUUUAUUGGAUGUGCACUUUUCCAGAGCGGUCCCCUUGAUGCAGGAACAGUUAUGAUAGUUUUGGCAUUGCUGUGCAUUAUGGCAGAACCUGUUUAGUUAAUACCUGCGACAAUUCCAUAUUUGUUCUAUACGACAGUCUGCAGAAUGGAUGCAGAAUCUGACAACAAAGGAUCUGCAAAUCCCGCUGAAACUCCUGAUAUUGUGUUACCUUCUUCUACAAACCCUGAACAAAGUGUAAGCAAAAGGCCAGCUCAGGAAGAAUCAGAAACUGAAAAUGCAGCAAAAAAAUCUGACCCUAAUGAAAGUGCAGACUCUGCAUCGGGCACUCCUAAACUAAGUGUUUUUGGUUCUUUCACAAAAGGUUUAGUUGAUUCAUCUUGGAGUGCAGUGAAGGCAGUUCAGCUUAGGGCGCGUCGUAUUGGCUCUCAAAACAAGCGAAGAUACCAGCCCUGGCCAAGGUCGAUCAUUUUAGCUGGAGUAUUUAUUAGGGUCGGUUUCCACCCAGCAUAAUCUGUAAGUUAUGGCAGGGAUGCCUUACAAAUUUAGAUGCUACUGCUGAUUUAAUUCUGAUUUGGGGUUGAAGGAUUCUCCAGUCAUUACAGAUUCUGUCAACUCCCUCGCAAAGAAUGGUUAACGAGAAUAAUGGCAGCUAUGCAGGCGAAACUCUUGGUGUUUGUACACAUAUAGAUACACACCGUUGCAAGUUCUAAGACGCCGGUGCCAUGAAUAUUACUGUGAGAGUCCGAGUGCAGGUGAUGAAUGUAUUUGGUGGACUUUUAAAGCAGGAGUAGACUAUCUACAAACAUGAUGAUUGAGGAAACAAUUAGUGAUUUUUUCUAUACACACAUUUCCCAGCUCGGACAAAGGAUGUGAUCACCUCCAUACAGUUGGACCAUUUGCCUGUAUAGUGCUUAACCGCUUUCGUGGUGUCCUUGAGCUUCUCAAUUUAUUGUUUCACCCGGUGGAAAACAAUGUGAAGUUGAGGUCAUAGACAAUGCACAUAUAUACUGCGUUGCUGAAACAAGUGGCUCAUAAACAUCUGUUAGCUACAUUUGUAGAAGUAUGUGCAGAAAGUCUUGCUGCAGCAACACAUGGAAUGCUCAAAAUGAAUGAUUCAACAGAAUUGUCAAUUCUGCAGCAACACAUGAUAUAGAGAAAGAGUCAUGCAUCAUUCUUUUGCUUCGGGAUGCUGGCUGGAUCAACCUGGUAUUUCAAGAUAAAUAGGUCAGUGACAUGCAACUUCUCAAUGAAGGUAAAUGGAAUGAUGUUCCACAUAUGCGACUUACGUUAUUAUCAACUUGGGCGACAAACUCACCACUGUAUCCACCUGUUGGAUAUUUUAUAGAAUGACAAUAAUUAUGUUGAGUCUCAAAAUGCUCGCAGAUUAAAGAUAUAUUUUAUUAUAAUGCAUUAGCCUUUUAAAUAUGUAAACUCUUAUCAAGGUUUGAACUCCAAUAGUAUUAAGGUUCUGUGAUAUAAUACCUACUCUUUGAAACGCAAUCCGAGUGAAUCGAAAAGAAGUCCGUUGAGUUUCCGGAAAAUAUUUAUUUAUGAGGUCUUGGGUGUA